AGAGUUUGAUCAUGGCUCAGAAACGAACGCUGGCGGCAGGCUUAACACAUGCAAGUCGAGCGCCCCGCAAGGGGAGCGGCAGACGGGUGAGUGGGAACGCGUGGGAACAUACCCUUUGGUUCGGAAUAACUCAGGGAAACUUGAGCUAAUACCGGAUGCAUACGUCCGUAAGGAGAAAGAUUUAUCGCCAAAGGAUUGGCCCGCGUCCGAUUAGCUAGUUGGUGAGGUAACGGCUCACCAAGGCUACGAUCGGUAGCUGGUCCAAUGAGAGGAUAUGAUCAGCCACAUUGGGACUGAGACACGGCCCAAACUCCUACGGGAGGCAGCAGUGGGGAAUAUUGGACAAUGGGCGCAAGCCUGAUCCAGCCAUGCCGCGUGAGUGAUGAAGGCCUUAGGGUUGUAAAGCUCUUUUGUCCGGGAAGAUAAUGACCGUACCGGAAGAAUAAGCCCCGGCUAACUUCGUGCCAGCAGCCGCGGUAAUACGAAGGGGGCUAGCGUUGUUCGGAAUCACUGGGGCGUAAAGCGCACGUAGGCGGACCGUUAAGUCGGAGGUGAAAGCCUGGGGCUCAACCCCAGAACUGCCUUCGAUACUGGCGGUCU
rnacentral:rRNA from 1 species